rnacentral:lncRNA from 1 species
UUUGUGAGAGAUUUAUUGGGAGAAAGAGAGAAGGGAUGGUGGCAGCAGAAAGAGAAGGGGGAAAGAGAGAGAGAGGGAGGGGUUAUUCCCCUUAUUUAUAUGGAAAAUGAUGUAAGGCAGAUAAAGGUGGUGGUGAGCCAAGUGGAUUCUAGGAAUAUGGUGCCUGUUGUCUUGGCAACAGGUCUGCAUGUCAUGCUGUUGCCUAUGUGAUGUCAUAGGUUUGGGAGAUUCUGAUGCCUACAGGAUGCACUUAUCAUUUUCCCCAGUACAAAGACCAUCAUGCAAUACCAGAAUGGUACCCAGCAAGAUGCUGAUGGAGCACUUACACCUGUGAGUCAAGGGUCAGACUCAAAAGCAGACACAGAAAGAAAGAAACACAGAUCUUCUAAAGAAGAAAGCACCAUCAGUAAGGACAGUAUUCCAGUUUUAGAUGAAGUGCAAGACAAAACCUUUGAACAUCAAGAGUCAGGAUUAAGAUUAGAAGUUCAGGCAAAGAAACUAACGUUCAGCCCUCAAAAUAUUCACAAUAAAGAAUCAGCUACAGAUAUUAAAGUGGAGUAUCAAAAUGUACCAUCAAGCUCCCAAGUCCAGUUAAAGAAGCAAAAGCCUUUGGGAGGAGAAAUAUUUACUACUCAUUUUGUAGUACCAGCGGAAAGUCAUGCACAAUUAUAUCAAACGUAUACACCAGAAAUACAAAUAGAAAGAGGAACAACUUCUGGCACUGCAAGACUCACUACAAUUCCUGUAGAACACCCUAAAAAGGAAGCAUCACCGGACAAUCUAUUUCCUGAGAAGAAACUUUAUAUAACUAGAGCCCCGACUCAGACCAAGAAACAGUACCCUCCUUGGGACACUAAUGCAGAGAGUCAGAACAUCGAGCUAAGGUGUGAUGAAAAUUAUAUGUCAGUAGACCCAACAUCAAAAGAUCAUCCUCAAUUUAAGAAACUGAAAACUACCCACAUAGAAAACACUGCUCAGAAAAAAACAGUCAAAGAAGUUCAGGGGAUAUCAGAACCUCAGACAAAACUGAACCCAACGAUGAGUGGCAUCAUAUUACACUUGGACAUGGACAGAGUGGUUGAGACUGACCUAGAAAACUUGGAAGAGACCAUUGUACCACAUGUAUUAAGAAGUGAACUUGAGAUUGGCACAGAUGCAAAAAAUAUGCCUGAAACACCCACAUCAAGGGAAGCAGUGAGAACAGAGGCAAAGGGUAAUCAAGAUGUGACUAUUUCCAUCGCUAAAGGCAUGAAACUAAUUGGAAAACUGAAAGAUCAACAUGGUUUGAGUUCAUUUGCAAGUAAAGAUACCAUUAGUCCAGGGAAGAGCCUGAUAAAGUCAUCCAGAGACAAUCAAGAUGACAGUUUAUUGGAAACCAAACCUCAAGAAAAUACAAGUGACAAGUACCACCCAUCAAAGACAUUUCCAACAAAAGUGAUCAACAUGUUACCCUUCUCUGGUAAAGGUACGAGAGGGUACACAAAGACAAACAACAAGGUCUAGUAGCCUAAAACAGCCCAGAAGUGUGCCUUUUCACUCAUCUUCUUUGCACUGCCCUUUUUUUUAAUGCUUUUUUUAAAAAAAUUUUUAAUUAGGUAUUUUCUUCAUUUACAUUUCCAAUGCUAUCCC